CAGGGAUGGCAAACAGACAGGUGUAAAGACAGUGUGAAAGGAUGCAGGGAGACUUAAAGUCCGGGUUUAUGUUUUCUCUUUGCAGAAGAUGUAGAGGAGCUGAAUGCUGGAGAGUGAGUGAAGGAGUGAAGCUGAGCCCUGGACGGAGGGAUCUGCUGGAGGAAAGGAGAGAGAGAGUGUCGGCAGAACUGGGCCACAGCAUCCGAGCUGGGAGACCUGAGAGAAGAGAUGGGAGAGGGUGGCUCCGCUGACUGGAGGAGUACCAGCUGGUCUCAAACAGGUAGGGAGCCAUGCCAAGUCCCUGUGCCAGCGUCCGUCGUGCCCGCUGACGUUCGUCGUCUGUUGGCUUCCAUCAGGGCCUCUCUCUCUCUCUCUGAUCUGGAAUGAAGAUGAUUUGAUUAGACCUCUGGUAAAGGCUGGGCAGGCCCUAUACAAAGUCAUUAGGAUGGCCAGGAGUGGACUGGGGUGUUACGGGUGAGUAGUGGGUGACCGGCAGCGGACUCACAUUUGCACUGGACUGUUAGUUGUAAUUCGGUUAAAAUGUUGUUGUGUGUCUGUGCAUGUGUGCGUAUGCACCUUUUCAACUUCCCUACUAUCAUCCCUCUGGUAAUUGAAUUGUGGUACAAUAAUGGAUCUAUGAUUUUAUUUUGUCUUAGGUCCAAAUGAGUUUUGGUGUGAACUUACACACACUGGCAGGUGUUUACACAUUACAGGGGCUCAAAGAAAAUCUCCCAAACUCUGGAGGUUAAACUCUGUAGAUCACAGCUGGCCUAUACACUGUAUGUAGUCUAUAUGCUAUGCAAAGAGGUAUGGAUACAAGUAUAGAAGGACCAAGUCUUUGUAUGGGAGACAAGGAUAUGCUAAUUGGGAAACUGAGAGGGACAGGUAGUAGCAGACAUAAGGGAGUGACAUGAAGGAGUGUGUCUCAGUUGGUAGAACAUGAUGCUUGCAACGCCAGGGUUGUGUGAACAGUAUGAAAAUGUAUGCAAUCACUACUGUAAGUCGCUCUGGAUAAUAGCAUCUGCUAAAUGACUCAUUUGUUAUUUAUUUUUUAUGUAAAAAAUGAAAGGAACGGGUAGGCCUUCUUUCUGGCUAGGAGACAAACUGAGAAAGACCGGUACGCCUACUUGGAGACAAUGCAAGGAGGACAGCUACUGUAGCUGGCUAGGGACCACCUGAAAGAGACAGGUAGCUACUGUAGCUGGCUAGGGACCACCUGAAAGAGACAGGUAGCUACUGUAGCUGGCUAGGGACCACCUGAAAGAGACAGGUAGCUACUGUAGCUGGCUAGGGACCACCUGAAAGAGACAGGUAGCUACUGUGGCUGGCUAGGGACCACCUGAAAGAGACAGGUAGCUUCUGUAGCUGGCUAGGGACCACCUGAAAGAGACAGGUAGCUAAUGUAGCUGGCUAGGGACCACCUGAAAGAGACAGGUAGCUUCUGUAGCAGGCUAGGGACCUCCUAAAAAAGACAGAUAGCUACUGUAGCUGGCUAGGGGACUGAGAGUUACAGUAAUGUAACUGAUGUUAUCCUGUUAAUCACGUCUGCCUGGCCAAACAGCCCUGCGGGUACAGACUAGUGUGUGUACGGCCCAGCCUCGCCAAGCUGUUCCCACGACCCAGAGGUCAAAGGACAUGCUCAGAGUGGGCGCCAGGCAGAGACCAGCCAGAUAGACGACCUUGCCGCACACACACACACACACACAGCCGGCCAAGGCUGGGCCUGCCAAGUCCAACAUGCCGAUGGCCAGACGGUGGGC
ensembl:lncRNA